rnacentral:lncRNA from 1 species
CCAUUCCCCCCUUAGUCUCUUCCUCUCCCCCAAAGCUACUUAGUCACUAGAGACCCUUCACAACUUAGGCUCUCCUAUCCCUCUCCAUCGCUUCUCUAGCAAACUUGGGGACCUCAUCGCUUAAGCACCACUGUCCUCCUAUCUUCAAUCCCUCAGUAGCCAGCAAGUGAGUGACGUCGUUCACCGUUCUGGGGCAAUAUUUGAAUAUACAGGUACGAAAUUGCUUACCCAAACAUUUUCCAUCUCUGAUUAAGACCACUAUUUCCGAUUUAUCCUCCCUCUCGUGUAACAGCUUUUUUAUGACAGUGAGUGCAUCUCCUUUAACCUCCGUAUCCAUUAGUCCUAGAUCUAGUCCCACCUGGAUCCUUUGAAUGCAUACAAUCGCUUCUACCGCAAAGACUGAAGGUACAUUCUCAUUAGUGACCCUUUUUUAGCAUAGUACAAGUCCCUCAGAGUUUCGAAUCACAAUCCCAGAACAUGAUUUUUCCUUAUGCUUUUUAUAGGCGGUGUCAAAAUUGAUUUUUACGAACGGGGGCUUUGAUGGUUGCCAACUUUCCAACUCCACACGCCGAACAUAUAAGGGAAUCUAUACCCCAUCAAGUUCUUGAACAUAAUUUCUUAUUGAAGUUGCAAUAGUGUUCCCAGAUCUUUUCUAAACCUCAUGAGUCCACUUAUUCUGUUCUGUCCAAAUAGACCAUAGAGCACAUCCGAACAUUCUACACUGGUUAUUGGUGUUAUGCUCAAAGAACCAGGUAACCCACUCCAAUAUCUCUAUUCUUGACACCCUUUCUGGCCAGGACCAGCCUAAAUGAUUCCAUUUAUCUUUUGUCUCAGGCACUCACGCAGGGCAUGGAUAUCGGUUUCAAUUCCACCUGCACAUCUCAGACAGAUACUAGAAUUAGUAACUGUUAAGAAAUGGCUUAAAAUUGGUAGUGGAUUGUUGUUGUUGGUAGUGGGUUGUUGGUGGUAGUGGAUUAGUGGAUGGUUGUUGGUGUCCAUUUUCAACCACAAAUCUUUGCCAAAGUUUUGGACAAUUAUGUCCUUGAACUCUCUUAUAAAUAGAGAGGUUCAUUAGCCAUAUUCAUCAUCCCAAACCAAGAGAGAGCAAAGCUUGUUCUUUGAAAGCUAGGAUUUUAGCUUUCGGGUUUUCUAUAGGGGUUGAGAGUUGUGAGGUUCUCGGGUUGUGUCUUGAGUGUAAAACACUUGUAAUCUUCAUCUUGUUAUAGUGAAAUUUCUUUUCGCCUCUGCCCGUGGACGUAGGCAUUAAAGCCGAACCACGUAAAUCCUUGUGUUCACUUUAUUUUUCGUUUCGGUCAAUUUACUUGUAGUCAUAUCGGAGUUCUCGAAUCGAUCCUUUCCGCAACAAAUUGGUAUCAGAGCGUAGUUGAAGGAGUGAUAAUAUUUUCUGAAUUGCCCUGUGACUGCAGCUUUGUCUGAUCUUUCACAUCAGGAAGAAAAUAUUAUCAUUCAUUCAAAGGUUCCAAAUUAUGGCUACAAGUGUUUCAUCGACUAAGUAUGAUGUCGAGAAAUUUACCGGGAAAAAUAGUUUCAGUUUAUGGCGCAUCAAGAUGCGGGCAGUGCUGGUUCAACAAGGAUUGCUAAAAGCAUUGUCUGGUAAAGAUAAAUUACCAAGCACGCUUUCGGAAGAGCAAAAGGAUGACAUGCUAGAAAGAGCACAUAGUGCUAUUCUGCUAUGUCUAGGAGAUGAAGUGCUACGAGAAGUAGCGGAUGAGAAAACCGCGUCCGGUUUGUGGCUCCGGUUAGAGAGCAAGUACAUGACGAAGUCAUUGACGAACCGGCUCUACCUCAAGCAAAGACUCUAUGCCCUGAAGAUGGAGGAAGGUACACCUGUUUCCCAGCACCUGGAUAAAUUCAAUUCCAUUAUCAUGGAUUUGAAUAAUAUCGAUAACAAAAUCGAUGAUGAGGACCAAGCAAUAAUUGUUUUGUGUUCUUUGCCUCCCUCGUAUGAGAAUUUUGUUGAUACAAUGAUGUACGGUCGUGAUGACCUGACUCUAGAGGAGGUGAAAAAUGCCUUAAGUUCCAGUGAGUUGAGGAAGAAAAUCACUGGUAAGGUGGUCGAAAACAAUGAAGGCGAAGGCUUGGUUGCUCGAGGAAGAUCCAAGGCAAAGGGUGGAAGUUCAAGUAAAAGCCAUCCUAGAUCGCAGUCCAAGAAGAGAAUACAGUGCUACUACUGUAAGAAGUACGGGCACAUGAAGGUAGAUUGUCCGAAAAGCAAGGAGAAAUCAGAAUCACAGGAGCAACAAAAUGAUCGUGCGAAUGUAGCUGAUGCAGAUUCUUCAAGUGAUGCCGAGAUCGUUCUUGCAGUAUCCGACUCUUACGCUGGUGGGAGAUGGAUUCUUGAUACGGGAGCUACAUUUCAUAUAAGUACUUCGAAAGAUGCAUUCUCAACAUACGAGAAGCAUUCUGGUUCAGUACUAAUGGGAAAUGACCACGCAUGUCAAGUCAUGGGGAUUGGCACAGUUCGUAUAAAGAUGUUUGACGGUAUUGUUAGAACUCUAACUGAUGUUCGGCACAUUCCAGAAAUGAAGAAAAAUUUGAUCUCUUUGAGUACGUUGGACAAGAAAGGCUUUCGGUACUCUGCUGAAGGUGGAGUUCUCAAGGUAUUCUCGGGUGCUUUGACUGUGAUACGUGGUAAUUUGGAGCGGGGCCUUUACUUCCUCGAUGGUUCCUCGGUUACAGGUGUUGCGGGAGUGUCAUCAUCAGAUGAUCUAGAUUCUGACACCACGAAGUUAUGGCAUAUGCGGCUCGGGCAUAUGAGCGAGAGAGGCUUAUCGGUGCUAAGCAAACGAGGAUUAUUGUCUGGGCAGUGUACAGGAAAGUUGAAUUUCUGUGAGCACUGCGUCUUCGGUAAGCAGACUCGGGUAAAGUUCAGCACUGGGAUUCACAAGACAAAAGGCACAGUGGAUUACUUCCAUUCUGACCUUUGGGGGCCUUCUCCGACAAUUUCUAAAGGUGGUUACAGAUAUCUGCUUACCUUUAUCGAUGAUUACUCGAGAAAGGUUUGGGUGUAUUUUCUGAAGAGCAAGUAUGAGGUUCUCAUCAACUUCAAGCAAUUUAAAGCUUUGAUCGAAAAUCAAACAGGAAAGAAGAUCAAGCGAUUCCGGACGGAUAAUGGCUUGGAGUUUUGCUCAGGUGAAUUCAAUGAGUUCUGCAAGAAUGAAGGAAUAGUGAGACACCGCACUGUUCGUCGAACACCACAACAAAAUGGAGUUGCAGAACGCAUGAAUAGAACUCUCUUGGAGCGAGCUCGUUGCAUGCGAUCAAAUGCUGGGCUCGGUGAAGAAUUUUGGGCUGAAGCUGUUAAUACUGCUUGUUAUUUGGUUAACAGAUCUCCGUCAACAGCUAUUGAGCUGAAGACUCCUGAGGAAGUAUGGUCUGGUUCUCCUGCUGAUUACUCUGGUUUAAGAGUGUUUGGCUGCCCUGCGUAUGCUCAUGUAAAUGAGGGAAAACUCAAACCGAAGGCGAAGAAAUGCAUAUUUCUUGGAUACGGCCAAGGGGUGAAAGGAUACAGGUUGUGGUGUCCUGAUCCGGUUUCGUCCAAGUUCAUCAUCAGCAGAGAUGUGACUUUUGAUGAGUCAUCCAUGCUUCGAUCCACCACAAAUUCCCGGGAAAAAGAGGAGUCAGAUAGAAUGGGAGAUCACGGUGUUGAGAAGCAGGUGGAGUGUCAGGUGGACGCUCCAAUUCCUACGGAAGGUACUUCAGUCCAGGAUGAUCAAGUUGAGGUGCAAGAUUCCGAUGAAGAUGAGUCACCUCAAGAAAAACCAUAUAGCAUUGCCACUGGAAGAACGAAGAGACAAAUCAAACCAAAUCCGCGUUACGCUAAUCUGGUGUCUUUCGCGCUCAGUGUGGCGGAGUCCAUUGGUAUAGAACCUUCCAGUUAUAAUGAGGCUGUCACGUGUGAUGAGUCGGCACAGUGGGCAAUUGCUAUGAGUGAGGAGAUAGAAUCUCUUCACAAGAACCAUACUUGGGAGUUGGUUAAGCCGCCAAGUAACCAGAAGAUAGUUGGUUGCAAAUGGGUCUUCAAGAAAAAGGAAGGCAUCCUAGGGGUUGAAGCAACUAGAUUCAAGGCACGAUUGGUUGCUAAAGGCUUCACUCAGAAAGAGGGGAUUGACUACAAUGAAGUUUUCUCCCCAGUCGUAAAGCAUUCUUCCAUUCGUGUAUUACUUGCCAUGGUGGCCAAGUCUGAUCUAGAACUUGAGCAGCUUGACGUAAAAACGGCGUUCUUGCAUGGUGAGCUCGAGGAAACAAUCUACAUGCGUCAACCAGAGGGUUUUACAGUUCCUGGUAAAGAAGACCAUGUCUGUCUAUUAAAGAAGUCUUUAUAUGGAUUGAAACAAUCCCCAAGGCAGUGGUACAAGCGGUUUGAUAGCUUCAUGAUUCAGCAUGGUUACACAAGAUGUGACUAUGAUGCUUGUGUCUAUCAUCGGAAGCUCUCAGAUGGUUCGCACAUUUAUUUGUUGCUGUAUGUUGAUGACAUGUUAAUUGCUUCCAAAAACAUGUCGGAAAUCAACAAGUUAAAGUCGCAGUUGAGUGGUGAGUUCGAGAUGAAGGAUCUGGGUGCUGCCAAGAAAAUUUUGGGCAUGGAUAUUCACAGAGAUCGCAAGGCGGGCAAGCUUCGUGUGUCGCAGAAGAACUACAUUGAAAAGGUUCUUCAACGCUUCGGCAUGGAUAAAGCGAAAACUGUGAGUACUCCGUUGGCACCACAUUUCAAACUCUCUGCAGAGUUGUCACCACAAUCUGAUGAAGAAAAGCAGCAAAUGUCUCACAUUCCAUACUCGAGUGCAGUUGGAAGCGUGAUGUAUGCAAUGGUUUGCACUCGUCCAGACAUUUCACAUGCAGUUAGUGUGGUCAGCAGAUACAUGAGUUGUCCUGGCAAGGAACACUGGCAGGCCGUGAAAUGGAUUCUCAGGUACUUGAGAGGUUCUGCAGAUUUAUGCUUGGUAUAUGAUCAGAGUGACUGCACUAGCAGUGUCACGGGCUAUGUGGACUCUGAUUAUGCUGGAGAUCUGGACAAAAGAAGAUCUCUGACGGGUUAUGUUUUCACUUAUUCUGGAGGAGCCAUUAGUUGGAAAGCUGUGUUACAGUCUACCGUAGCCUUAUCUACGACUGAGGCGGAAUAUAUGGCGUUAGCAGAAGCAGUGAAAGAAGCAUUGUGGAUGAAAGGUCUAGUAAGCAGUUUGGGUUUACAACAGGAUUUCACUGUUGUAUUUUGCGAUAGCCAGAGUGCCAUACAUCUGACUAAAAAUCAGAUGUUUCAUGAACGGACCAAACACAUUGAUGUCAGAUAUCAUUUUGUUCGGGAACAUGUUACGCAAGGUGACAUUGUUAUCAGCAAGGUUGCUACCGAGAAGAAUCCUGCAGAUAUGUUAACUAAGGUGAUCCCUGCAUAUAAGUUCAAGCAUUGCUUGGACUUGAUAGGUAUUCGGGAUUGAUUAGCGCCAGAGAGGCGUUUGGAAGAGGUGAUCCAGUUCGAGGAAUUCACUAUGAUGUUCAGCUUGGUAAAUUUCAAGCCAAGGUGGAGAUUUGUUAAGAAAUGGCUUAAAAUUGGUAGUGGAUUGUUGUUGUUGGUAGUGGGUUGUUGGUGGUAGUGGAUUAGUGGAUGGUUGUUGGUGUCCAUUUUCAACCACAAAUCUUUGCCAAAGUUUUGGACAAUUAUGUCCUUGAACUCUCUUAUAAAUAGAGAGGUUCAUUAGCCAUAUUCAUCAUCCCAAACCAAGAGAGAGCAAAGCUUGUUCUUUGAAAGCUAGGAUUUUAGCUUUCGGGUUUUCUAUAGGGGUUGAGAGUUGUGAGGUUCUCGGGUUGUGUCUUGAGUGUAAAACACUUGUAAUCUUCAUCUUGUUAUAGUGAAAUUUCUUUUCGCCUCUGCCCGUGGACGUAGGCAUUAAAGCCGAACCACGUAAAUCCUUGUGUUCACUUUAUUUUUCGUUUCGGUCAAUUUACUUGUAGUCAUAUCGGAGUUCUCGAAUCGAUCCUUUCCGCAACAGUAACUCUUCUAUAGUGUAGAUACAUAGGGUAGGAAGAUAAUUUUUUGAGAUUCCCCAGAUUGUAAUUUUCAG